UAUGCGGCAGCUCCGGUAUUGCGUUGCUCACACCUUAACAGGGCGUUAGCAUUUAUCAACUUAAUAGGAUGUUCGUAAUAAUAUGUUUAAAUCACUUUUUUCAAAGAAAAAUACCAGUAAAUUGACUCUUCAAGAUGUCUUAGAUGACCCUCUUAAGUACCUCAAAAGUCGAAAUGGUACUAUUUGGUAUAAAACGAAAAAAAUUGGGGGGGGGAUGCCCCACAAUCAAGGCGAAACGUGCGAUGUUUUUGAUGACUUAUAUAUUGGCACAGGAAAAAAUAUCUUCGCUUAUAUUCAUAAUUUUUCAAUUUGCCCUGAAACAAAAAUUGCUGUUAUAAAACAUUUUGCGUUGGAACCAAUUUAUACUAGAAAUGGAUUAGGCCUAAAAAUUAUUAGUGAGUUAGGAAAGGAACUUAAAAAUAAACAUAGUGUGGAUAAGAUACAGUUUCAUACGUCAAUUGAAAAAACUAACUUUAAUAAGUUUUAUAGCAAAAAGUUAAAGGCUAAAGCGAUUGAUGUAGAUGGAAGAGUAUGGGAGUGGAAAAUAAAAUAAAAGCUAACAAUCUGUUUAAGAGUGAUUCGCAACGCUUGGCAUUUUGGGCUAUGCGUUGCGUUUAGUGUUUAAGGUGGUAUGCGGAAGCUUAGGUAUUGCGUUGCUCACACCUUAACAGGGCGUUAUAAAUCAAAGGAGAGUUUGGUGUCAAAAUUAAGAUCUAAAACAAAACAAAGCAUACAUAAUGCAUUAGAGAAUACAUACUUCACAGCAGAUAACUUUGACGUAAUGUAUCAUGAAGAACAAAGAGAAUUUUUGGAAAUUAGCUUUAUACCGCAACCCGAAUUCAAAUUUAAAGCAAGCAAAUCUUCUGGUUAUGGACGUGGUGCGCAGUGGUCAACUUCAGAAGCUCCAGGUACUCAUUUGAGGGAGGCUGAGUCUUACGAUAUCAACAAUUUCGAUAGUAUCAUCGAACAUAUUGGUAGUUGGGCUUCUAGAAUCCUAGAAGACUAUCGGGUUGGUAAAAAAGAAACAUUCAACGAGUUUGAAGAGUUCGAAAGGCAAGUGGCAGAGAAAGUUGAAGAAACCAAUUCAAAUAAGUCUGAAGUAUUCAGCACUGAAGAAGCUAAUGAUCUUAAAGGAAUGCUUGACUCUUUAUAUGAAAAAUUCGAAGUGUUAUCUGAAGAGAAUAACACUUUAAAGAAACAGCUAUCUGCGAUUAAAACUGAGAUCGAUAAUAUAAAGGGAGAUGUAGACUAUUUCCCUAAAAAUGCUUGGUAUAGGGUCUCGGGUAGCAAAAUAGUGAAGAUGAUGAAACAAGUUGCUUCGACACCAGAAGGACGUAAGUUGAUAGCGGAAACAGCGAAAAAGUACUUGCUAGGUAUCUGAUUUAUAACAAAGCAUUUAAGAGUGAUUCCCAACGCAUGGCAUUUUUCAUUCCAUCGUUGGGUUUAGUGUUUACGGUGGUAUGGUUAGGUUUCGUGGCUGCGUUGCUCACACCUUAAUGCGGCGUUAUACAUUUUAGAGGUUUAAAUGCACAAUUUUGA
rnacentral:rRNA from 1 species